rnacentral:rRNA from 1 species
AGUGAACGCUGGCGGUAGGCCUAACACAUGCAAGUCGAACGGCAGCACAGUAAGAGCUUGCUCUUACGGGUGGCGAGUGGCGGACGGGUGAGGAAUACAUCGGAAUCUACUUUUUCGUGGGGGAUAACGUAGGGAAACUUACGCUAAUACCGCAUACGACCUACGGGUGAAAGCAGGGGAUCUUCGGACCUUGCGCGAUUGAAUGAGCCGAUGUCGGAUUAGCUAGUUGGCGGGGUAAAGGCCCACCAAGGCGACGAUCCGUAGCUGGUCUGAGAGGAUGUUCAGCCACACUGGAACUGAGACACGGUCCAGACUCCUACGGGGGGCAGCAGUGGGGAAUAUUGGACAAUGGGCGCAAGCCUGAUCCAGCCAUACCGCGUGGGUGAAGAAGGCCUUCGGGUUGUAAAGCCCUUUUGUUGGGAAAGAAAAGCAGCAGGUUAAUACCCCGCUGUUCUGACGGUACCCAAAGAAUAAGCACCGGCUAACUUCGUG